rnacentral:tRNA from 1 species
UCGGGGCGUAGCGCAGUUGGCUAGCGCGCCUGCUUCGGGAGUAGGAGGUCGCUGGUUCAAGUCCAGUCGCCCCGACCAC